CUGAUCACGAAGAAUCCCAAGCAAAGUUUCCCUCUCAUUUUCCAUCAAAUCAUGUGAAGUGCCAAAUUGAACAGCAGCUCUUGCAACGCAAGAAUUGUCACUCUGAUUCUCCGCUCCAUACUUGCAACAAUCUUCGGCCAACUUUCUCGCUACAAUAUUUGAAUACAAAAAUAUUGUACACAAGAACUAGUCAAGAAAAAAAAAAAAAUCAAAUAUUAUAACGAGAGCAAGAGCAAACGAACAACCUAUUUCCAUUUGUUUCAAGCUUACUGCAACAAACACUUCAACGCCACGGACAACAUUCCUCUGAAAAUGCUGCGCUACAGAGCAUAUAUUCCAAAUUAUUGUUCAGAUAAAACCAUAGAAACCAUCAUAAUUAUUCAACAUACAUUAAGCUCCGUUUGGUAAAUACUUGCAACUUCAGUCUAGAAAAUACAGUUAAUUUUUAUUUAAAAAAACAUCAUAAUUAUCAACAUACAUAUUUGACAAAAUUAUUAUUUAAAAAUCAUAACUAAUUACCAAAAGCCACAAUAAAUCAAUAUCAAACAGAGUCUUAUUAUUAGCUAAAGGAGGAUGGUGCCUUAGCUGCCCUGGUGGAAUUGUAUAGAUUUUGAAGUUGUUGGUGACACUCAAUUUCAGCUUCAUCAACCGCAACAUUUUCAAUGCCAAGAUGGAGCAGAUGCUUCAAUACUGCCUGUACAAACCAUAAAAAACUAAUGAAAAAUAAAUAAAAUCGAGAAAUUUCACUAAUUAAAAGUCUAAAUAAUUCAAAAACAAAAAAAGAAAAGAAACGGACUUGCUGCUGCUUGGCGACUUGUUCUCGGAGCUUGAUUGCCUGUUUCUUGAUAGCUUCCAUACUGUUUCUUUCAAAAAGCGACGACGGCUCAGCUCAUGGAAGUGGAAAAAAAAAAGUGUGAUCGAGAAAAAUGAAAAGGCGUGAAUAAUUUUUGACAAAAAGCGAAAAUCAAGGAAAGCCGGCUCUUUCCAGAAAAUAAAAAAGAAAAAAGAAAAUUAUAAGUUUGAAAGGAGAAGAUGAUAGUGGAAGUGUGCGGUGUGGCUGCC
rnacentral:lncRNA from 1 species